rnacentral:lncRNA from 1 species
AUGAAAGAAGAAAACGAGUCUUUUACCACAGAUUUCACCCUCCUAGGAGUUACAAGGCAGCGGGAGCAGGAAUACUUCUUCUUCAUCCUCUUCCUGUUCUUUUACCCCAUCACAGUGAUUGAGAAUGUGCUCAUCAUCCUAGCAUCUUCUUCUCCUCUGCAACUAUCCCCAAGAUGCUGGCCAACCAUCUCCUGGGUAGCAAAGGCCAUCUAUCUCCUUUGGGGAAUGUAGGGCACAGAUGACCUUCAUGACAAGCUUGGCAAAUACAGAUAGUUGUAUACUAGCUGCAAUGGUGUAUGACCGAUCUGUGGCCAUCAGCUGCUCACUUCAUUAUGCAACAAUUAUGAGUCUAUGACUUUGUGCCCUGCUGGAUGCUGGGUCCUGGGUGAUUUAAAAGGCCAAUAUGCUGCCCCACACCCAACUCACAGCUAGAUUGUCCUUUUGUGGCAAUAAGGAUGUGGCCAACUUCUACUGUGACAACAUGCCUUUGCUCCAGCUGUCCUGCUCUGAUAUCUGCUUCAAUGUGAAGAUGAUGUACCUUGGGGUGGGGAGUCUUCUCUGUGCCACUGCUGUACAUCAUUUCUUAUGUCCGGGUCUUUUCCACAGUCUUGCGGGUUCCAUCCACCAAGGGUUUCCUCAAGGCCUUGUCUACCUGUGGCCCUCACCUGACAGUGGUGUCCUUGUAUUAUGGGACAGUCAUGGUCAUGUAUUUCAGGCCCCUGACCAGUUACAGUCUGAAGCACACACUGAUAAUUGUGAUGUACACAGCAGUGACCCCAAUGCUGAACACUCAUCUACAGCCUGAGGAACCGGGACAUGAAGACUGCUCUCAAGAAACUCUUACAC